rnacentral:rRNA from 1 species
UACAGGGGGUGCAAACGUUGCUCGGAAUCAUUGGGCGUAAAGCGCACGUAGGCGGUUCGUUAUGUCGGAUGUGAAAGCCCUUGGCUUAACCGAGGAAGUGCAUCCGAAACUGGCGAGCUAGAGUACGAAAGAGGAUCGCGGAAUUCCCGGUGUAGAGGUGAAAUUCGUAGAGAUCGGGAGGAACACCAGUGGCGAAGGCGGCCUUCUGGACCAGUACUGACGCUCAUGCACGAAAGCGUGGGGAGCAAACAGG